GGUUGAUCCUGCCAGUAGUCAUAUGCUUGUCUCAAAGAUUAAGCCAUGCAUGUCUAAGUAUAAGCUUUUAUAUGGUGAAACUGCGAAUGGCUCAUUAAAACAGUUAUAGUUUAUUUGAUGGUCACUUACUACAUGGAUAACCGUGGUAAUUCUAGAGCUAAUACAUGCGUAAAGACCCGACUUUUCGGAAGGGUCGUGUUUAUUAGAUUAAAAGCCCACCCAUCUUCGGAUGGUUUGUUGGUGAUUCAUAAUAACCGAACGAAUCCCAUGGCUUUGCCGGGGAUAUAUCAUU
rnacentral:rRNA from 1 species